GAUGAACGCUGGCGGCGUGCCUAAUACAUGCAAGUCGAGCGAACGGACGAGAAGCUUGCUUCUCUGAUGUUAGCGGCGGACGGGUGAGUAACACGUGGAUAACCUACCUAUAAGACUGGGAUAACUUCGGGAAACCGUAGCUAAUACCGGAUAAUAUUUUGAACCGCAUGGUUCAAAAGUGAAAGACGGUCUUGCUGUCACUUAUAGAUGGAUCCGCGCUGCAUUAGCUAGUUGGUAAGGUAACGGCUUACCAAGGCAACGAUGCAUAGCCGACCUGAGAGGGUGAUCGGCCACCCUGGAACUGAGACACGGUCCAGACGCCUACGGGAGGCAGCAGUAGGGAAUCUUCCGCAAUGGGCGAAAGCAUGACGGAGCAACGCCGCGUGAGUGAUGAAGGUCUUCGGAUCGUAAAACUCUGUUAUUAGGGAAGAACAUAUGUGUAAGUAACUGUGCACAGCUUGACGGUACCUAAUCAGAAAGCCACGGCUAACUACGUG
rnacentral:rRNA from 1 species